rnacentral:lncRNA from 1 species
AAAAUCGAUUGAUAGCAGCCUCCAAACUUGAUUGCAUAAUGUAAGAUUACAAUGGUUUAUAUAGUGCAAAACUAAGGAAACAUAAUAAGACUAAACUACCCUUAACUUAAUUAACUUAUUACUUUAACAUCCCCCGUCAAACUCACGAUGCUACGACAAGGAGCAACGAGAGUUUGACCAACAAAAAGCGUAAAUGAUAAAUCGAAUUUGACUUCGUGGCAAAGUCUACAAGCUGCAAUGAUGGAGAGCAAUGAAAGGUAGGGAAAUGAUGCCAAACUGCAGAUAACCAACGAAACCACACAAUCUCAGCUAAACCCACUGCAGAUAACCAACGAAACCACACAAUCUCAAUUAAACCAAACGGAUGCAAAUUUCAAAUUCCAAAUGAACUUGACGUAUCAAUUCCAAGAACUGACUAUGCCAAAUUCCAAACUCCAGAUAGACUGGACAAACGAAUUUUCUAAUCCCAAAAACUAGGCAAACAAACGAAAUUUCCAAAUCCCGUGAAUCGAGCAUCAAACGAAAUUUUCAAUCCCACGAACUGGGUACAAAUUUCAAAUUCAAGCUCGACAAAUGCCAAAUUUAAGGCACCCACAGCUAAAAACACAUCCUCAUCUUCAGCAACUCAUCAAACAAGGCCCAAAUUUUACCCAAAAUCAGCCCUUACAUAAUCAUCUUCCAUAAUGCCAUAAUGAGGAAAACUCCAAUUAAUCUUUUUUUUUUCUUUUUCGAAGAGACUUCUCCAGCAUGCCUAAUUAAUUAGAGCCCAACCCUUUUAUUUCUUUCUCUCUCUCUCUCUAUUUUUUUUUUAAAACUCAAAUGCACGAAUUGAAAUCCCAAAAUACAAGGCCCAAAUCCAACAGUACCAAACUGCUGGCAAUCCACAGCCCACUACUUAGGCCCAAUUCAGCAGAUCUAUCAAACAUUUCAAGCCCACUUACUAAAAUAUUAAAGUACCAGCCCAACUAACCAAUCCACGAAACCUGAAAUAAUAACCCAAAACAUUAAUCAAACAGCCAUAACCCAAAACAUAUACUAUGGCCCUUAUAAUACUUCAACCCAAUCAUACAAAUCUUGUUUAAUUCAAGCCCAAUUACACGCUAAACCCAUCAAUACAAUGUCUCCAAAAUAAACCCGAAGCCGCCGACCACAGCUCAGCCACCGGGAUCUGCCAUCUUCUCCACAGGUCUCGUCGCCGGCCGCCCCUCAAAAGUAACCAGAUUGAGCGGUGCCGAUGAAUCUCACAACUCUGACCACCGAACUAAAAAAAAAUGACAGUAAAACUUUACUGAUUCAACCCAAAUCGACUCCGAAAACUGCCGUCAAACGUCGGGUUUCACCAUGGUCGGCCACCAUCUCUCCAAAUCAAACUGACCAUAAGCAGCCGAUUGAAACUUCCCCGUCGAUCCCCAUCUUAAACCAGUUCACUGCACCCCGCCUAUGGUCACACCACAUCUGUCUGACCGUCUCCAUAUCAAGACUCCAUCACCGGACCUCCAUGGCCACAACAACAAUACUCAACCACACAAACAACCUAUAAACCACUGCGUCAAUCUUUGGUUUCGGUCCCUGCCUCUGGUUAGAAAUCACAAAUAGAACUAAAUGGAGACACCACACAAAUGGACGACUACCACAGGUAUUGACCAGAACCAAGGUUGCUGCUGCUCCACGAAACUCACGACAGAGUGUGUAUGUAUGACUUGAAUCCAAAAAAAAAUUGCAACAAAACAAAACAAAAAAACUUUGGCGAUCAAAAUGGCUUUGAUACCAUGUUAGAAAACAACAAACAAAAGAUGAAGAAUGGAGGAGAAAAAGAGAAAAUCGAUUGAUAGCAGCC